rnacentral:rRNA from 1 species
UACGUAGGGGGCUAGCGUUGUCCGGAUUUAUUGGGCGUAAAGAGCGUGUGAGCGGCCAGGUAGGUCUGGUGUGAAAACUCGAGGCUUAACCUCGAGAUGUCAUCGGAAACCAUCUGGCUAGAGUCCGGAAGAGGAGAGUGGAAUUCCUGGUGUAGCGGUGAAAUGCGCAGAUAUCAGGAAGAACACCAAUGGCGAAAGCAGCUCUCUGGGACGGUACUGACGCUGAGACGCGAAAGCGUGGGGAGCGAACAGG